GAUGAACGCUAGCGGCAGGCUUAACACAUGCAAGUCGAGGGGCAUCGCGGGUGGCAACACCUGGCGGCGACCGGCGAACGGGUGAGUAACGCGUGAGCAACAUGUCCUCAGUCGGGGGAUAAGCGAGGGAAACUUCGUCUAAUACCCCAUAACACUUUCAGGCGCAUGCCUUUAAGUUGAAAGCUUUUUUGCGACUUUGGUUUGGCUCGCGUGACAUUAGCUAGUCGGUGGGGUAACGGCUCACCGAGGCUACGAUGUCUAGGGGUUCUGAGAGGAAGGCCCCCCACAUUGGGACUGGGACACGGCCCAAACUCCUACGGGAGGCAGCAGUGAGGAAUAUUGGUCAAUGGACGGAAGUCUGAACCAGCCAUGCCGCGUGAAGGAAGACUGCCCUAUGGGUUGUAAACUUCUUUUGCAGCAGAGCAAUAAGGCGUACGCGUACGCCGAUGAGAGUAUGUUGUGAAUAAGCAUCGGCUAACUCCGUG
rnacentral:rRNA from 1 species